ACGGAAUAGAUACCCUGGUAGUCCACGCCCUAAACGAUGUCUACUAGUUGUUGGUGGAGUAAAAUCCAUGAGUAAACGCAGCUAAACGCGUGAAGUAGACCGCCUGGGGAGUACGGUCGCAAGAUUAAAACUCAAAUGAAUUGACGGGGGCCCGCACAAGCGGUGGAUUAUGUGGAUUAAUUCGAUGCAACGCGAAAAACCUUACCUGGCCUUGACAUGUAACGAACUUUCCAGAGAUGGAUUGGUGCUCGAAAGAGAACGUUAACACAGGUGCUGCAUGGCUGUCGUCAGCUCGUGUCGUGAGAUGUUGGGUUAAAGUCCCGCAACGAGCGCAACCCUUGCCAUUAAUUGCCAUCAUUUAGUUGGGCACUUUAAUGGGACUGCCGGUGACAAACCGGAGGAAGGUGGGGAUGACGUCAAGUCCUCAUGGCCCUUAUGGCCAGGGCUUCACACGUAAUACAAUGGUCGGUACAGAGGGUUGCCAACCCGCGAGGGGAGCCAAUCCCAGAAAGCCGAUCGUAGUCCGGAUUGUAGUCCGCAACUCGACUAC
rnacentral:rRNA from 1 species